GACUCUCUUCAGUUCGCCGACGCUCGCGAGGAAGGGUGACAUCAAAUACGCUUAUCCCUAUCCUGCUUCAGGAGUGUAUGGCGGACCGCCGGUGAUGGCGCCGCCUCUGUAUGCUUAUUACGGGGCUUAUCCGCUGCUAACGACCGACACCGGGUUCCUAGACGAAUGCACUAUGCUGCUGUUGCCUGUUGGAUGCGUGUUGCUGGCCUUGGGACCCCUUCCUCUUCUAGCAGCAAAACAAACACAAGCGGUGAACGACGGGUUUGUCCUUGGUUGAAGUUGAAGACCCUUGGUUUUAUUUUCCUUCCCUUUGCCUAAACCUUCUUGUAAAAUGUCUUUCCUCGUAAGAAGUCCCUGUAGUUUCCUUUCUUUGCCAAUGAAAGCGAGCGCCCA